CUUUGUGUAACUUUUACUUUCCUUUGUGUCAAAAAUUUCCUGGUAAGGAUGUUCAUAUAUAAGUCUCAUAAAAGGACUAGAAGGCCAGUGGAAUUCACUGGUUCAUGGGCUACCUUGAGAAGGUAGUUAAAACAAAAACAGUAGCAACAGAAAAGAACUAUUCAGUGUUCAAUAAACACUGAAAAUGAUGUGAAAAUGAUUUCUCUGUUAUUUCUCCACAUAUGUAAUCUGAAGAUUUAUAUUUAUUAUGUUGUCAGGGAGAAUAAUAUAGUUCUAUAAUUCUUUUGGAAUGGGCAUGUAGAUCAUUCAAGUCAUAAAAUUCUCAGAAUUUAGUAGACUGCCCAUCUUGGGUAUUUGUUUUGCCUAUUCUGGCCAUCUCCAGUUUUUUUCUACUGGGGAGACAAUUCUCCAGAAGGCUCAACUAACCUCAAACUACAGAUAUCAUUGUAGGUUUUCUGGUUCACUUGCUCUUUCCCCAGAAGACAGAAUUAACAAGUAGCUUUUUUAUGGUCUACAAGGAGCUCAGCAAAGACCUUAUCUUACAUGUAGGACAACAAUUAACACUGGCUGUUUCCAAAGAUGAUAUUCCCACUAAAAAUUUUUAUACACAGAUUAGAAAUAGAUGAAUAUAUGCAUAUGCCUCCAUAAAUUGGAUUACAGAAUAAGGUCUUUGGAUAAUUAUUUCAGUAGAAUAACUAGAAUCCAAUAUUUAAAUAUCCACCCUACCACCCAUGCCCUGAUAUAACCUAAUUCUGCCAUUGCAGGUGUCCCUAAAUUACUGCCCUUCCCCCACACACACAGAGAGAAGGGGAAUAUCAUAAAACUUUCCAGCUGUGAUCCCAGAAUGAGGACUUGUCUGGAUUGUUCUUCACCGAACAGUUCCCUUUCCCCCAUAAAUGACUUCUGAUUAAUAGUCAUAGGGCAUAGUGUGAAGGCUGAGCCUACAAGCAAAUGUGCUCUGGAUAUUUUUAUGCCUAGAACCCUGGAAGGUUUCAAUACAUCAUGAAAACAUAUUUUUAUCUUUUGCAUCUUCCUUUAAAUGAGAUGAGUAAUGCACCCUCUCUUGAAUGUGUGUACCUGGUUACGAGAGUUCCAAGGUCUGUUUGGUUCUAAUGCUAAAAAAUUGAGGUUGAUUCUUCAAACUUCAUUACCUGGGCCUGUUCCUAUAAUAAGAUUAUCACAAAGCUUUCUUUGGAGUGGUGACUUUUCAUCUUUAUUAAUUUGUUUAAAAGUAUACAAAUGAAGAUGGCCUUUCAGUCUUUUGGAAAGUUGUCAAUACAUCUUGUAAGAAAAACUGGAAAGCCAGUGAAGUUGACUGAUUCAUGGGAUACAUGGGGCAGGGAGCUAAAACAAAAACAGUAGAAACAGAAAAGAAAUAUUCAUGAGAGGUCAAAAGUCCCCAAAAUUUAGUAUAAAAUAGAGCUAAUGAAAGGGGAUUCAGCCAACUGAAACAAGGACGCACUCAAGCUGGAGUACCUGAAGAGGAACUGGACUGACAUCCCAUUACUUUUCAUCAUUCUACAGGUUCUCUAUGUGAUCUUCACACUCUCAAACUCUACAGCCUCAUCUGGACCUUGGUGAGAGCCUCAACUUCUCCCUGUGUCCAUCUCCUCAAACCGUCAUCCACUCUAUUUCAGAAAAAAACCUGCCUUGGCUCUGGACCUGAUCACUGUGUUUGAGACCCCACCAAGGAGCCCCACACAGCAUCAUGUCUGUAUAGAUUCCUCUGUGUUUGAGAGUUCCUCUGUCAAGAAGGAUCUCUCAAGGUUGAGAAGUCAACCACUUUUGGUGGCAGAAGAAAUGUCAAAUUGUGUUCAAGAGGCCACACAUAAAAUAUGUGAAGAGAAUUUUAAUUUGGAAUCAGGAUGAACAAAUUAGAAGAUAAUUCAGUGCUUCUAAAAUUAGAAACAGGCAAGUGUGAAGACUUUAGUACUUGUUGUUCCAGAUGCUAAAGCUCCGGGUCCCCUAUGAGCACAUUAUGUGGAGUAACCUUGUUGAACGCAGUCAGGAUCCCAUACAGACAAUGAAGGGUAAAAGGAGUAGAACGUCAGGUAAGAAACAGAAGAAAAAAACUGAGAUUUUCUUUUUUGCUGUCAUUAAUUAUAGCAGCAGAAAUGAGAGAAAUAAGGAAAGAGAGUGGACACUAACUUCCAGCUGCAUAGGUAAGUCUCCACAGGUCCUGAGAUUCUCUGGAUACUGCAAAACAUCCAUGUGCAGAGUUUUGUGACAAGUUCUGGUUUUAUUUAGUGCUCCGCAGAGCUUCCAGGUCUUCAGGUACAAGGCUUCUUGCAUAAAUAGCAUUGUGUUUGCCCAUUUUUCCAGUUGGAAGAGCCAGAUUCCAUCUCCUCUCUUUUUGGGAGAAUGGCAAUGCUGAAUGAUGCCAACAACCUCUUGCCACUCUUUUUCUGGCCUGGAAAGGCCAACUCCUAGUCUGGCCUGCAUGGAUUAUUAAUCAAAUAGUAAUAGUGGACAACAGCCACUCUGGGCAAAUAAGAAGUUAUAUUUGGAGACUGGGGUGAGCAAGUAUACACCUGGGCUCUUUGAAAAAGGCCAUUUGUAGCUCCCAGUGAAACCAGAUUAACAGAUAGGUUAUUAGUGUAGUUAAGUAAAGCGGGUCUAAUAUAAAGUAAGAUAAAUAAAAUGGAGGCCAUAUUGAGAAUGCAGUCCAGGAAACCAGAGCAGCACUUGGGGAAAUUUAAAUGUUAAUGUCCCCAAGGCCCUAUGCCCAUCCUAAGGAAAUGUUAAUGAAGCAGCUCCCAGCAAACAUGGAAGAUGCUAACCUAAAAGUCCCCCCAGGACCUUCCUGCCCAGGUUACUCCUUCAGCCCACCUAUACCCCACCUCCUGGGUCUUCCCGCCUUCAUUCUAUCAUUGCAAGAAAACAAAGUACAGGAGUGUGGGAAAGCUGAAAGAAGAACUUAGCUAUAAAAACAGGAAGACCUCCGCCUUCCACAGAUUCUGCCUUUUGGGUCCCCUUCUUCCUCUGGGGAGAAGUAUUUUCUGCUGUUCUUUAAUAAAGCUUCUACUUUCCACUCUACACUUGCCUCAGCAUGCUUCUCUGGUGUUAUACUUCAGCAUUAGGGAAGCAAGGACUUAUCACUGGUAAACAGCAAUAACACCAGAAGGCUGCACAGUGAGUUUGAAAUGAGCAAGUGUUCUUCAGUAUGAACUCAGUUUACAUUGCCUGAGAAGUGUGCAGACAGGCCUCAGACCCAUCCUAGUCCAGAAUACUUGAUGACAUGGGUAUGGGUCCAGGCUAAGUUUGAGUAUUAGGUUCAGCUGGUUGAAUCCCUCCUCUAUCUGGUUGAUCUCUUUUCAGCCCCUUCUGGGACAGUAUCUCAUCCCCAGAAGCAUGAUCUCCCCAGAGAAUACUUCCCUGUCAAGUACUGAGAUCUCUCAUUUCUUGUCUUGGAGAUAGUGUAGAUAGUGAGGGAGCUGGGAUUGGGUCUGGGGUUGUGUUCAUGACUCCAGCCAUGCACUCAUGAGCAUGUGUCCCAGGGCACACAUUUCAGUGCUCUGAGUUUAUUUUCAUAUGAUAAACAGGAAGUAGAAAUGGCCCAGUACAAGGGUAUGAUAUUCAGAUGCAAUAUUCACAGUUGCUCUGAAAAAAAUAGUUCAAUUGUUUUAAGUCAAGUUCACAUUCAGACAAAGCAAGCAAUAGCUCUCUCCAACCUGGUCCAAAAGAAUUUAUUGGAGUCAAGCUCCUCUUAUCACUAGCCAUCCCUGGAUCGAAGUUAGAGGCCUGACCUCAAAUGUCAUUGAUACUGAAUCCCAACCCCUUGUCAAUGUCAGCCACACUGAAUCCCAACCCCUUUUCAAAUUUAAGAUCAGAUCACCAAAUUUAUAUGGUGAGUGUUAAAAUUAGGGUUGUAAAUAAUGUUAGAGUUUGGCCAUGAGCAAAUGUGUGGUCUGUGUUUGUGAUCAGAUAUUAGUUAAUGAAUACCUAUGAAGGUUUACAGGGUAGAUGUUAAAGAAAAGUAAGUACUUGGUUUGUGUUUCUAAGGUGAGGUAAGAGAGGAUAGGAAAUAGGUUUAGUGUUUUGUGACUAGGAAUAUACAACAUAGGUCAGUCAGGAUUAGGAUCAAAAAAAGACUUUAGAAUUCAGCAUUCCUGAGACACUAUUCUCUAUAGUAUGUUAACUUUGACUACCACCACUUAUAAAUUGCUCUCUAAGCCUACACCCCUUCUCUCACAGGUUCCUGUGUAUCCCUAUAUCACAUCCAUUUGGCCUGUGGCAUACCCUCCACUCCCUCCUUUUACCAACCCUGUGUAUCCCUCAAUUUUCUCUACUCAUCUUCUCCUGUGGACACUCCACCAGAAACAUUCAUCUCUAGCUGAAUAGCCUUCCACAUUGUUUUUUCAUCCCUCCCCUUAGCCCUCCACCACCUCCUCUGACAGAUUUCUGUUUAGCCUUCCACAACCUCCUCUUAUCUCCUGCUGCACACUCUUCCAUUACCUCUGCUCAAGAGCCCAUGAGUACCAUUGACCAUUUCCUCUUGGUUUUUAUCAUUAUUAUUUUUUGUAGCUGAGGAACACACCCUAAUUCUAUCUUGACAUAAGGAGCCAUCUCAUCAUAAAUUCAUGAAAAGUUCAUUUCUGUUUUACUAUAAAAUACUGAUUUCUAUUUGGCCUGAUCAUAAUUUGGUAUGUAAAUUAUUAACCUGAUAUCUGCCUUUGAAUUUUGCUUACCAAAACCCUGUUAGGUGUAAGUUCCCAAGACAACGACCUUUUAAUUUUUUGUGCUAUAAAAACUGCCCUGCACUCAGAUCAACUACUGUCCUCUGGCCCAGCUUUUCAGGAGAGGCAGUAGCUUAUCAGCUCUCUUGUGUACAAAAUAUGAGCUUGCUUUAAUUUGGUUUAAUAUUGGCAUCAGUGGUCUGCCAGGUUUCUGUUCUCGAGACUAAAAGGCUCACGAAAACUUGGCUAACUGCACUGCACAAAAUAACUACACAAGAGACAAAAGUACCUUUUUGUUUGGGGUUGCUUUGGUGGCUCCUCUGACCUUAAGGGUCCACAGGAAGAGAGAGAGCAAGAGCAUGCACUGACCCCUUUAAUUGAGGAGAAGCUAUUCAAAUAAGGCAAGGGGUCAGGUUUCAGGGGGCUGAGUCUAUCUUCAUGAUGCCCACUAUCAGAAGGUUGACUGGCACCUGGGGCACACUCAAGGUCACAAUAAGAGAAGGGGACACACACAAGGCACUUCCAUUGAAGAUUCUAUCCUAAACAGGGCAAUGGGUUAUAUUACAAGGGAACAGGUGAGCAUAGCUUCACAAAUGGGGCUGUAGCAAGACAUGCCCAUGCACGAAACACUUAUACUCAAACCCAAGAAGCGUGGGGAACAGCUCUGCCACUUUCCUGGGACUGAAAGCCUUAGCACCCAGCGAGUGUGACUCAGUCACGUGUAAGGUUGGUCUCCCAUAGUGGUCUUUUCUUUGCAUUGCGGGUUUAACCGUAGCACUCCAACAUCACUUCUCUUGCUAUUCUCUGUAGCCAUCCAUGUUUCAACUUCUGUGUCUUUCUUUACCAACUUCUCUCAUCUCCUGUAUAACUCUACUCAACCAGCACUCUAUGUAACCCUAUAACACAAUAUCUUGCAGGCUACAGUGUAAUCCUCCACCACUGCCUCUCUCUUCCUGAUGUGUAUACAUCUACAACUUUCUCUUUACCCACUCUGUGUAACUCUCUACUAACUCUUCUCAUCCUUUGUGCAGACCUCCAUAAUUCCUCUCAUCUUCUCCUUUCAGCCCUUCACUAUUUCUUCUCAUGUAUGUUGCCCUAUACCACCUUUUAUCAUUUCUCUCAGUGUAAACUCCACCACCUCUCUUCAUGCUCUACUGUGGAGUAUACCACCACCUUCUCACAUAUAUGGCAUGAACAACAUUUCCUUUUCUCAUGGCCCCAGUUAAGCCCUUUACCACCUGCUCUCAAAUCUUCCUGCAUAGCUCUUCAUGGAUCCUGUCAUCUCCCAUGUAACCGUAGACCAUCCUUCUACCUAUCCCUUAUUAGCCACACAAACUCCUCUCAUGGCCCCUAGAAAGACCUCCCCACCAUCUCUCCCUCUGUAGCUCUUGUCAUCACCUGUGUAUUCUCCCACCACUUUCUCUUUGGCCUAGUAAUUCUGCCUAUACCACCUCUACUCAAAGGUCCUGAGAAUCCCUCCUCUACCUCCUCUGUGUCUUCCUGGUUAGCCAUCCAUUAUGUCCUCUCACAGACCCUUUGUAUUCCUCCACUUAACCACCUCCUCCCAAACCCUCCUCUGCCUUCUCUCAUGGCCUCCAGUGGAGGCAUCUGUCAUAUAUUCACAUGUCCAAUGCAGUGCUCCUCAUCUCCUUUUCUGUUGCCCUCCACCAUCUUUAACCUUCAUCUCCUGUUUUGCUCUCCAUUGCCUCAUAUCAUGUCCUGUGUAGCCCUCACCUCUUUCUUUUAUCUCCUUCUGUAUAAGUUCAGGUUUGAAAAAAUAAUCUUUAAGUUGUAAAGUUUCAAUCAUAUAUAUUAAGAUAAAGAAACAGUUUUAAAGUUACCGUAUUUGCUAUAAUAUUUU